ACAAGAGAAGGUUAAUUAACAGAACAGCAAGCGACAACAUAGAAAGAAGCGCUCUGCUCUGCUGCAUAUUUUUUUUUCUUAGUUCUUCUUUUUCGUUUUUGAUCUGAAAAUUUUAGAUUUCUCGUGGAGAAUAUGGUAAAUUCGCAUCCGGUGGGUUUCAGAUUCCAUCCGACCGACGAGGAGAUCAUUGGCUAUUACCUCAGGGCAAAAAAUAUGGAUGGCAACACGACUCAUGUCAAUGAAUUCAUUAACACAGUCGAUAUCUAUAGCUUCGAUCCUUGGGAGUUACCUUCCAACUCGAGUUCGAUAAGGAAGGACUAUGUUUGGUAUUUCUUCGGUCGUAAAGACAACAAAUAUGUGCACACAAAAAGAAAAGUAAAGACGACAAAUAUAACAGAGGAACCCCUUUUUUCAAAAAAAAAAGACAAAUAUAACAGAGGAGGGAGACAGAGCAGGAAAAAGAGUUCUGGUUUUUGGAAGAAGACCGGAGUUACUGUUAACAUGAUCAACCCAACAGUCCAACAGCCCAUGACAAGAAAGAAGAAGAAGUGAGCCAUCAACAACGCAAGCCCACAACUCAGCUCAAGACACCAACAGCUAGCUUGACUGUCAACAGCUCAGCCUUCGCUGAAAACAAGCAGAGUAUGGAUUCAACAAUUAAGUUGGAGAACAGAUUUGGUCUCCUUGCAGAAAACGACAUUUAAGCUCUCUGAGUAGAAAAUUCCUUAAUAUAUUCCAUUAGGUUAAGCUUGUCCUCUCUGUAUAAAUAACAAAGGAUGUACAAGUUAUUAAGUAUAAAAAGAAAAAAAAAUUCUUAAGUAAUAAAAAUGGGGUUUAAGCUUUGAGUA